UGGGGAAUAUUGCACAAUGGGCGCAAGCCUGAUGCAGCCAUGCCGCGUGUAUGAAGAAGGCCUUCGGGUUGUAAAGUACUUUCAGCGGGGAGGAAGGGAGUAAAGUUAAUACUUUUGCUCAUUGACGUUACCCGCAGAAGAAGCACCGGCUAACUCCGUGCCAGCAGCCGCGGUAAUACGGAGGGUGCAAGCGUUAAUCGGAAUUACUGGGCGUAAAGCGCACGCAGGCGGUUUGUUAAGUCAGAUGUGAAAUCCCCGGGCUCAACCUGGGAACUGCAUCUGAUACUGGCAAGCUUGAGUCUCGUAGAGGGGGGUAGAAUUCCAGGUGUAGCGGUGAAAUGCGUAGAGAUCUGGAGGAAUACCGGUGGCGAAGGCGGCCCCCUGGACGAAGACUGACGCUCAGGUGCGAAAGCGUGGGGAGCAAACAGG
rnacentral:rRNA from 1 species